rnacentral:rRNA from 1 species
GACGAACCGUACGAACGUUAUUCGGAAUCACUGGGCUUAAAGGGUGCGUAGGCGGCGGCGCAAGUUGGGUGUGAAAUCCCUCGGCUCAACCGAGGAACUGCGCUCAAAACUGCGUCGCUUGAGGGAGAUAGAGGUGAGUGGAACUUAGGGUGGAGCGGUGAAAUGCGUUGAUAUCCUAAGGAACACCAGUGGCGAAAGCGACUCACUGGGUCUCUUCUGACGCUGAGGCACGAAAGCUAGGGUAGCGAACGGGG